UACGGAGGGUGCAAGCGUUAAUCGGAAUUACUGGGCGUAAAGCGCACGCAGGCGGUUGGUUGAGUCAGAUGUGAAAUCCCCGGGCUUAACCCGGGAACUGCAUGUGAUACUGGUGAGCUAGAGUCUUGCAGAGGGGGAUAGAAUUCCAUGUGUAGCGGUGAAAUGCGUAGAGAUGUGGAGGAAUACCGGUGGCGAAGGCGGCGCCCUGGACAAGGACUGACGCUCAGGUGCGAAAGUGUGGGGAGCAAACAGG
rnacentral:rRNA from 1 species